AGGAAAGNCAGGGGAUCGCAAGACCUUGCGCUUUUGGAGCGGCCGAUGUCUGAUUAGCUAGUUGGUGAGGUAAAGGCUUACCAAGGCUUCGAUCAGUAGCUGGUCUGAGAGGACGACCAGCCACACUGGGACUGAGACACGGCCCAGACUCCUACGGGAGGCAGCAGUGGGGAAUUUUGGACAAUGGGGGAAACCCUGAUCCAGCCAUGCCGCGUGAGUGAAGAAGGCCUUCGGGUUGUAAAGCUCUUUCAGCCGGAACGAAACGGUCACGGUUAAUACCCGUGAUCACUGACGGUACCGGAAGAAGAAGCACCGGCUAACUACGUGCCAGCAGCCGCGGUAAUACGUAGGGUGCGAGCGUUAAUCGGAAUUACUGGGCGUAAAGCGUGCGCAGGCGGUUUUGUAAGUCAAGAUGUGAAAUNCCCCGGGCUCAACCUGGGAACUGCGUUUGAAACUANCAAGGCU
rnacentral:rRNA from 1 species